CCGGUCGUCUUGCGCGAUUCGAGGUCCCGGUGCGCUUGCGCCGCAUCCUCAAGCGCGUAACGCUGGUUCAGUUCGAUCUUGAUGCGACCCGC
rnacentral:tRNA from 1 species